GUGCUCGCUUUGGCAGUACAUACACUAAAACUGGGACGAUAAAGAGAAGAUUAGCAUGGCCCCUGCACAAGGAUGACAUGUAAAUUUGUGGAGUGUUCUAUAGUAUG